rnacentral:rRNA from 1 species
AUGUCAUCACUUCUCUUGUUGGCUUCUUGGGAGCUGUGGAAUGAGCGGAAUGCUUGCUUCUUCAACAAUGCUUUUUCUUUGCCUCGCGUGGUUGUGCGUACGAUCAAGGAUGAGGCCGCCUUGUGGAUUGUCAUUGGGUCAAAGCAUUUGAGCUCAGUUAUGCCACGAGAGUAG